rnacentral:rRNA from 1 species
GGACGACGCUGGCGGCGUGCCUAACACAUGCAAGUCGAGCGGGGAGGAGAAAGCUUGCUUUCGAAUCCUAGCGGCGGACGGGUGAGUAACGCGUGAGCAACCUGCCUCAAACAGGGGGAUAACGCAUCGAAAGAUGUGCUAAUACCGCGUAAGACCACGGUACCGCAUGGUACAGAGGUCAAAGGAGCAAUCCGGUUUGAGAUGGGCUCGCGUCCGAUUAGCUAGUUGGUGAGAUAACAGCCCACCAAGGCGACGAUCGGUAGCCGACCUGAGAGGGUGAUCGGCCACAUUGGAACUGAGAAACGGUCCAGACUCCUACGGGAGGCAGCAGUGGGGAAUAUUGGGCAAUGGGCGAAAGCCUGACCCAGCAACGCCGCGUGAGGGAAGAAGGGUUUCGGCUCGUAAACCUCUGUCCUAUGGGACGAAGAAGUGACGGUACCAUAGGAGGAAGCCCUGGCCAACUACGUG